AUUGAACGCUGGCGGCAUGCCUUACACAUGCAAGUCGAACGGUAACGGGCCUUCGGGUGCCGACGAGUGGCGAACGGGUGCGUAAUACAUCGGAACGUGCCCGAUCGUGGGGGAUAACGAGGCGAAAGCUUUGCUAAUACCUCAUACGAUCUACGGAUGAAAGCAGGGGACCGCAAGGCCUUGCGCGGACGGAGCGGCCGAUGGCAGAUUAGGUAGUUGGUGGGAUAAAAGCUUACCAAGCCGACGAUCUGUAGCUGGUCUGAGAGGAUGAUCAGCCACACUGGGACUGAGACACGGCCCAGACUCCUACGGGAGGCAGCAGUGGGGAAUUUUGGACAAUGGGCGCAAGCCUGAUCCAGCCAUGCCGCGUGCAGGAUGAAGGCCUUCGGGUUGUAAACUGCUUUUGUACGGAACGAAAAGCCUUCUUUUAAUACAGGAGGGUCAUGACGGUACCGGAAGAAUAAGCACCGGCUAACUACGUG
rnacentral:rRNA from 1 species